rnacentral:rRNA from 1 species
GACGUAGGGCGCGAGCGUUGUCCGGAUUUAUUGGGCGUAAAGAGCUCGUAGGCGGCUUGUCGCGUCGGCUGUGAAAUCCCGUGGCUCAACUGUGGGCGGGCAGCUGAUACGGGCAGGCUGGAGUUCGGUAGGGGAGACUGGAAUUCCUGGGUGUAGCGGUGAAAUGCGCAGAUAUCAGGAGGAACACCGGUGGCGAAGGCGGCUACCUGGCCCACUCUUGACGCUGAGGCGCGAAAGCUAGGGGAGCAAACGGG